UACAGAGGGUGCGAGCGUUAAUCGGAAUUACUGGGCGUAAAGCGUGCGCAGGCGGUUUGUUAAGUCCGCUGUGAAAUCCCCGAGCUCAACUUGGGAAUUGCAGUGGAUACUGGCAGGCUGGAGUAUGGUAGAGGAAGGUGGAAUUCCCGGUGUAGCAGUGAAAUGCGUAGAGAUCGGGAGGAACACCAGUGGCGAAGGCGGCCUUCUGGACCAAUACUGACGCUCAUGCACGAAAGCGUGGGGAGCAAACAGG
rnacentral:rRNA from 1 species